rnacentral:lncRNA from 1 species
CAGACAGGCAUCCAUCCUAUCCAGGAGAUAGGAAACCAAGAAUGCAAAGACAACUCAGCAGAUCUGCUGGCAUGGAGGCGAGGCUGCAUGGAAGGAUCUGGAUUGGAUAGGAGUGUCCCAUUCAGGACAUGUGUCACUCAAAACCACACAACUCAGACUUGGGAAAUAUUCUAUGCCACAGAACCACAGCACGGCUCCCCAUAAAAGUCAUCUUUAUGGACAGAUAUUUCAUGGCAGCAGCUUGAGAAGGCUCACGUUUCUUAGGCAGCUGGUGCAGAGCCAGGAGAGCUAAUCAUGAGAUCUUCCAGUCCCAGGACGUGGGCUGCGGCUGGCGGCUGUGGCCGUCUUAUAUCAAACUCUCAAGAGUCACAGGGCAGCAGCAUUGGCCCCCUCCCAAGUCAUUCCAGAUGGGAUUUAAGGUGGCUUAAUGAGCAUUCAUAAAAUACAGCAAGAGAACAUAA